rnacentral:rRNA from 1 species
AAACCAUUUUCUUCCCUAGUAUGGGAGACAGAAAAGAAACUCAAGAGCAAUAGAAAAAGUACCGCAAGGGAAAGCUGAAAAAGAAAUGAAACAACCCAGUAAAGCCUUAAAAAGCAAAGAUUAAACCUUGUACCUUUUGCAUCAUGAUCUAGCCAGCAUCGCCAAGCAAAAAGAAUUUUAGUUUGACACCCCGAAACCGAGCGAGCUACUCCAGGCCAGCCUAUAUAAAUAGGGCGAACCCAUCUCUGUGGCAAAAGAGUGGGAAGAGCCUCGAGUAGAGGUGAAAGACCUACCGAGCCCGGCUAUAGCUGGUUGCCUGAGAACUGAAUAGAAGUUCAGCCUCCCGGAUUCUUCCCUCAAGGACAUUUAAUUAAUAUAUACCGACCUCAAGAAACCCGAGAGAGUUAGUCAAAAGGGGGAUAGCCCUUUUGACACAAGAUACAACUUUACUAGGAGGGAACUGAUCAUAAUUUAUUAAGGGAUAAUAAUCCAAGUGGGCCUAAAAGCAGCCAUCUUAAUAGAAAGCGUCUAAGCUCAAACACUCCUUUAACCCCUCAAAUUCAGACAAUAACUCACAGCCCCCUAAAAAUAUCAGGCCCUCUCGUGCCCACACAAGAGAGACCAUGCUACUACGAGUAAUAAGAGAAAGACCUUCUCUCCUAGCACAUGUGUAAAUCGGACUGGACCCCCCACCGAAACUUAACGGUCCCAAAUAAAGAGGGUAGUAAAAAAAUACCAACAGACUAGAAAACCACUUAAAACCUUUACCGUUAACCCCACACUGGCGUGCCCCCAAGGAAAGACUAAAAGAAAAAGAAGGAACUCGGCAAACCAAAGCCUCGCCUGUUUACCAAAAACAUCGCCUCUUGCUAAAAUCAAAGAAUAAGAGGUCCCGCCUGCCCACUGAUCCCAGAUUCAACGGCCGCGGUAUUUUGACCGUGCUAAGGUAGCGUAAUCACUUGUCUUUUAAAUGAAGACCCGUAUGAAAGGCUUAACGAGGGCUUAACUGUCUCCUUUUUCCAGUCAAUGAAACUGAUCUCCCCGUGCAGACGCGGGGAUUAAAACAUAAGACGAGAAGACCCUAUGGAGCUUUAGACACCAAGGCAGCCUAUUUUAAAUAACCCUAAACAAGCAACAAAUCUAUUAGUAAACCUGCCUCAGUCUUAGGUUGGGGCGACCCUGGGGAAACACAAAACCCCCAUGUGGAGAGGGGGGACCUACUACGCAACCCCUAAAAACUCGAAACACAAUUCUAAUCAACAGAACCUCUGACCAAAUUGAUCCGGCCCAAGCCGAUUAACGAAACAAGUUACCCUAGGGAUAACAGCGCUAU